UGUUUCUCAUACGAUUCUCAUCUGGACCUUUGCGUGUCGGCUA
rnacentral:misc_RNA from 1 species